GAUGAACGCUGGCGGCAGGCCUAAUACAUGCAAGUCGAGGGGUAACGCUUCGGGCGACGACCGGCGAAUGGGUGCGUAACGCGUAUAUAACUUGCCCGUAACAGGUGAAUAGCUCUUCGAAAGGGGAAUUAAUACACCGUAUUUUCAAGUUAUCGCAUGGUAAUUUGAAGAAAGCAUUUGUGGUUACGGAGAGGUAUGCGUUCCAUUAGUUAGUUGGUAAGGUAACGGCUUACCAAGACAAUGAUGGAUAGGGGUUCUGAGAGGAAGAUCCCCCACACCGGAACUGAGACACGGUCCGGACUCCUACGGGAGGCAGCAGUAGGGAAUCUUGGUCAAUGGGCGAUAGCCUGAACCAGCCAUGCCGCGUGCGGGAUGACGGCACUCGUUGUUGUAAACCGCUUUUUAACACAGGAAGAAG
rnacentral:rRNA from 1 species